rnacentral:rRNA from 1 species
UACGUAGGCAGCAAGCGUUGUCCGGAUUUAUUGGGCGUAAAGAGCUCGUAGGCGGUUUGUCGCGUCGGCCGUGAAAUCUCCACGCUUAACGUGGAGCGUGCGGUCGAUACGGGCAGACUUGAGUUCGGUAGGGGAGACUGGAAUUCCUGGUGUAGCGGUGAAAUGCGCAGAUAUCAGGAGGAACACCGGUGGCGAAGGCGGGUCUCUGGGCCGAUACUGACGCUGAGGAGCGAAAGCGUGGGGAGCGAACAGG